GUGGGGGAAAUAGAAUCUUUUUUUUUUUUUUCUGUUGGGCCGGAGUGCAGAGGCUGCAGACAACAGCCUCAUGGUUGGUUUCUGCAGCCUGUUACUUAUAUGGGUUAUCCUAAGACAUAAACUAGACAGCU